GUCUUUUGCCGAAAUCUGAGUUUAUCCUCAGAUUUUUAAACCUACUAGAAGUACAUCUUCUAAUUGAUCUGGUGAUAUUUCUGACGGAAAAGUGGAAUACGUUUGAGCCGUUAAUGGUCCAUUAUUGAAAUACAACUCAAUGAUCCAGUGAUCAAUUAUGCCGCAUCAUACAUUGACACUCCACUGACGAUGAUCGAUUUCAUGAAGUCAACGAAGAAAAUGAUGGAUUCCACAACGGAGAACUACAGAUUCCUUGGUUGUAAAGUAAUUAACGAACCAAUUUCUCAGUUCACGCUUUUUGAAAUGUUGUCCUUUCAAAGUCCGCUGUGUCGAACGAAAUAGCUGUUAAUUUGAAGGUGCAACAGCUGGAGUAGAGACAGGGAUGACUUUCGAAGACUGUAACCAACUGACAUUUUUAACAAACAGUACGAAGAGUUCUGCAUCGGACCGGAUAUAUUUAAUAGUAUAGUUGCGAGGAAGAAACUACUCAUAAGUAAAGUAAACGGAAAAGAGGUUAGAAUUUGCAGAACAAUACAUAAAUGCUAACGACUUCUGAAAAAACAUAGUAUUUUCCGACGAGUCAAAAUGAAAUAUUUUCGAGUCGGACGGUAGUAAAAAAGUAUGGCGGAAAGCUAAUACUUUUAAUUGGAUUUCAAAAAUAUGCAAUCGACAACGAAACACGAAGGUGGAGAAGCGAGGAUGUAUUGCUGCUUUUGGAGACGGCAAUUUAGUAAUAGUAAAUAAAAUAAUGGAAAAACAUUUAUAUCUAAAUAUUUUAAAAGAAAAUUUACAAAAUGGUGCAGACAAAUUGGAAUGAAUUAGAUGAAUUUUAUUUUCA
rnacentral:lncRNA from 1 species